AGAGUUUGAUCCUGGCUCAGAUUGAACGCUGGCGGCAUGCCUUACACAUGCAAGUCGAACGGCAGCACGGGUGCUUGCACCUGGUGGCGAGUGGCGAACGGGUGAGUAAUAUAUCGGAACGUACCCUAGAGUGGGGGAUAACGUAGCGAAAGUUACGCUAAUACCGCAUACGAUCUACGGAUGAAAGUGGGGGAUCGCAAGACCUCAUGCUCAUGGAGCGGCCGAUAUCUGAUUAGCUAGUUGGUGGGGUAAAAGCCUACCAAGGCGACGAUCAGUAGCUGGUCUGAGAGGACGACCAGCCACACUGGAACUGAGACACGGUCCAGACUCCUACGGGAGGCAGCAGUGGGGAAUUUUGGACAAUGGGGGCAACCCUGAUCCAGCAAUGCCGCGUGAGUGAAGAAGGCCUUCGGGUUGUAAAGCUCUUUUGUCAGGGAAGAAACGGGAUUUUCUAAUACAAAGUCCUAAUGACGGUACCUGAAGAAUAAGCACCGGCUAACUACGUGCCAGCAGCCGCGGUAAUACGUAGGGUGCAAGCGUUAAUCGGAAUUACUGGGCGUAAAGCGUGCGCAGGCGGUUGUGCAAGACAGAUGUGAAAUCCCCGGGCUCAACCUGGGAAUUGCAUUUGUGACUGCACGGCUAGAGUGUGUCAGAGGGGGGUAGAAUUCCACGUGUAGCAGUGAAAUGCGUAGAGAUGUGGAGGAAUACCGAUGGCGAAGGCAGCCCCCUGGGAUAACACUGACGCUCAUGCACGAAAGCGUGGGGAGCAAACAGGAUUAGAUACCCUGGUAGUCCACGCCCUAAACGAUGUCUACUAGUUGUCGGGUCUUAAUUGACUUGGUAACGCAGCUAACGCGUGAAGUAGACCGCCUGGGGAGUACGGUCGCAAGAUUAAAACUCAAAGGAAUUGACGGGGACCCGCACAAGCGGUGGAUGAUGUGGAUUAAUUCGAUGCAACGCGAAAAACCUUACCUACCCUUGACAUGUACGGAACUUACCAGAGAUGGUUUGGUGCUCGAAAGAGAACCGUAACACAGGUGCUGCAUGGCUGUCGUCAGCCCGUGUCGUGAGAUGUUGGGUUAAGUCCCGCAACGAGCGCAACCCUUGUCAUUAGUUGCUACGAAAGGGCACUCUAAUGAGACUGCCGGUGACAAACCGGAGGAAGGUGGGGAUGACGUCAAGUCCUCAUGGCCCUUAUGGGUAGGGCUUCACACGUCAUACAAUGAUACAUACAGAGGGCCGCCAACCCGCGAGGGGGAGCUAAUCCCAGAAAGUGUAUCGUAGUCCGGAUUGUAGUCUGCAACUCGACUACAUGAAGUUGGAAUCGCUAGUAAUCGCGGAUCAGCAUGUCGCGGUGAAUACGUUCCCGGGUCUUGUACACACCGCCCGUCACACCAUGGGAGCGGGUUUCACCAGAAGUAGGUAGCCUAACCGCAAGGAGGGCGCUUACCACGGUGGGAUUCGUGACUGGGGUGAAGUCGUAACAAGGUA
rnacentral:rRNA from 1 species